AUUGAACGCUGGCGGCAUGCCUAACACAUGCAAGUCGAACGGUAGCAGGUCCUUCGGGAUGCUGACGAGUGGCGGACUGGUGCGUAACGCGUGGGAAUCUGCCCAAUAGUGGGGGAUAACCCGGGGAAACCCGGGCUAAUACCGCAUACUCCCUACGGGGGAAAGCGGGGGACCGAAAGGCCUCGCGCUAUUGGAUGAGCCCGCGUCCGAUUAGCUUGUUGGUGGGGUAAAGGCCUACCAAGGCGACGAUCGGUAGCUGGUCUGAGAGGACGACCAGCCACACUGGGACUGAGACACGGCCCAGACUCCUACGGGAGGCAGCAGUGGGGAAUAUUGGACAAUGGGGGAAACCCUGAUCCAGCAAUGCCGCGUGUGUGAAGAAGGCCUGCGGGUUGUAAAGCACUUUCGGCAGGAAAGAAAAGCCAUGCGCUAAUACCGCAUGACCUUGACGUUACCUGCAAAAGAAGCACCGGCUAACUCCGUG
rnacentral:rRNA from 1 species